AGAGUUUGAUCAUGGCUCAGAUUGAACGCUGGCGGAAUGCUUUACACAUGCAAGUCGAACGAUGAACCUUAGCUUGCUAGGGGGAUUAGUGGCGAACGGGUGAGUAAUAUAUCGGAACGUGCCUUGUAAUGGGGGAUAACUAGUCGAAAGAUUAGCUAAUACCGCAUACGCCCUGAGGGGGAAAGUAGGGGAUCUUCGGACCUUACGUUAUAAGAGCGGCCGAUAUCUGAUUAGCUAGUUGGUGGGGUAAUGGCCUACCAAGGCUUCGAUCAGUAGCUGGUCUGAGAGGACGACCAGCCACACUGGAACUGAGACACGGUCCAGACUCCUACGGGAGGCAGCAGUGGGGAAUUUUGGACAAUGGGCGCAAGCCUGAUCCAGCCAUUCCGCGUGAGUGAAGAAGGCCUUCGGGUUGUAAAGCUCUUUCGCAAGGGAAGAAAACUUACUUUCUAAUAAAGAGUGAGGCUGACGGUACCUUGAUAAGAAGCACCGGCUAACUACGUGCCAGCAGCCGCGGUAAUACGUAGGGUGCGAGCGUUAAUCGGAAUUACUGGGCGUAAAGCGUGCGCAGGCGGUUUGGCAAGUCAGAUGUGAAAUCCCCGAGCUCAACUUGGGAACUGCGUUUGAAACUGCCAGACUAGAAUAUGUCAGAGGGGGGUAGAAUUCCACGUGUAGCAGUGAAAUGCGUAGAGAUGUGGAGGA
rnacentral:rRNA from 1 species